rnacentral:lncRNA from 1 species
UGUUUGUUAAAGUUAACAUGUCUUUAUUAAGGUUAAACACAGGGGUAUAGAACAGACAAGAACAGCAAUAAGGAACUACACAGAAACAUGGCAGAGCUGUAACCUGAGCUCUGACCCAAACUCUCCAGUUAGUUCCAUGUAACCACAGGCCUAGGAUCAGAUUAGUUCUAAGAUUAACCAUAAGGAGGAUGUAAAAAGGCCUGAUCCAGGUAGUGGUUAUGGGCAACUACAACUGUUCCAAGCUGUAGUCUGUUUGGGUCUGUCUCCAUCUACAGGACAAGACCGGGACUGCAGCUCUGCAGAUUUUCACCUGGGAACAGUUACCAGCAUGUAGCAGUUUCAUCAGAGCAGAUCAACAUGACAAUACAAUAAGUCAUGACAAAUUGCUUGUGUCAUCAUUUAAACAGUUAGGGCUUUGAUCGUGUAGGAUUCCCAGCAGUAACCUUACUACUUUAACAUGAAUCUUUCAUCGUCACCUUUCCCUCUGUCUGCCUGCCUGUCUGUCUGUCUUGUCUGCAGGGAUAUGUGAUUCUCUCAGAACAUGUUAUUACAGGGUGUGUAUAGUGUAGGAGCAUGUUAUUUCAGGGUGUGUAUAGUGUAGGAGCAUGUUAUUUCAGGGUGUGUAGUGUGGGAGCAUGUUAUUACAGGGUGUGUAGUGUGGGAGCAUGUUAUUACAGGGUGUGUAGUGUGGGAACAUGUUAUUAC